UGUUAAGUAUCCCGCCUGGGGAGUACGUUCGCAAGAAUGAAACUCAAAGGAAUUGACGCGGGCCCGCACUAGCGGUGGAGCAUGUGGUUUAAUUCGAUGCAACGUGAAGAACCUUACCAGGUCUUGACAUCCCGAGAAUAAUCCAGAGAGAGAGGGGUGCCUUCGGGAACUCGGACACAGGUGGUGCAUGGCGGUCGUCAGCUCGUGCCGUAAGAUGUUGGGUUAAGUCCCGCAACGAGCGCAACCCUUGUCUUUAGUUGCCAGCGGUUAGUUUGGAACCCCGAACAGACCUCCGGUGAUAAACCGGAAGGAGGUUAGGACGACGGCAAGUUAAUCUGCCCCUUAUUCCUUAGGGGACCACAUGGGCUUAAAGGCCGCGACAAAGGGGCGGGAUCCUCGCCAGAUCAACCAGGUCCAAAAACCCGCGUCCAAUUCCGAUUGGGGGUUGCCAAUCGCUCCCCCGAAGCCCGAAAAGGUUCUAAACGACGGUCAUGCAUUAGGCGGCAAUCAGUUCCCG
rnacentral:rRNA from 1 species